AGCCCUUAGCCAAACAAGUAUUUAAGGUACCGCCUGCCCAGUGAGAAUUUCUUAAACGGCCGCGUGACAAACCGUGCAAAGGUAGCGAAAUCACUUGUUUCCUAAAUAGAGACCUGUAUGAAAGGCCCCAUGAGAAAGAAACUGUCUCUUGUUGAUAGCCAAUGAAACUGAUCUGUUUGUGAAAAAGCAAACAUAACGUAACAAGACAAAAAGACCCUGUGAAACUUAAAAAUAAAGUACCAACCACCCUGGUACUUUUUUUUUGGUUGGGGCAACCAAAGAGAAACAAAACCUCUACCAUCGUAUUAGACCAACAAGUCAAAUACACCUAAACGUGACCCAGUCACACUGACCAAAGAACCAAGCUACUCCAGGGAUAACAGCGCCAUAUUCUUGAAGAGUUCACAUCAACAAGAAUCCUUACGACCUCGAUGUUGGAUCAGGAUACCCAAACAGUGCAAAAGCCGCUAAAGGUUCGUUUGUUCAACGAUUAAAAUCCU
rnacentral:rRNA from 1 species